UACAGAGGGUGCGAGCGUUAAUCGGAAUUACUGGGCGUAAAGCGCGCGUAGGCGGCUUUGCAAGUCGAGUGUGAAAUCCCCAGGCUUAACCUGGGAACUGCAUUCGAGACUGCAUAGCUAGAGUAUGGGAGAGGGAAGUGGAAUUUCAGGUGUAGCGGUGAAAAUGCGUAGAUAUCUGAAGGAACAUCAGUGGCGAAAAGCGACUUCCUGGACCAAUACUGACGCUCAUGUGCGAAAAGCGUGGGGAGCAAACAGG
rnacentral:rRNA from 1 species